CAGUUAACACCCUAUAACCACUAACCAGUAACACCUAUAACCACUACACUAGUUAACACGCCUAUAACCACCCUGUACCACUACACCCGUUAAACACCCUAUAACCACUCACCGGUUAACACCCUAUAACCACUACACCGGUUAACACCCUAUAACCACUACACCAGUAACCACCCUGUAACCACGACACAGUUAACACCUGUAACCCUAACCAGUUAACACCUAUAAACACACACACACACACACACACCUGAACACACUUACACCAGUUAACACCCAAACACAUACACCCACCACACACACACCUAUAACCCAACUACACCAGUUACACUACCUAUAAACACUACACCAGUUAACACCCUAUAACCCACUACACCAGAACACCCUAUAACACUACCACACAUACACACCCUUAACCACACCCAGUUAAACACCCAUAGAUCCACUCCUGAACCUACUACACAGAACACACCCGUAUAACCACCCUGUAACCACUACCACCAGUUAACACCCUAUAACCACCCUGUACCACACACACAGUUAACACCCUAUAAACACACACACCCAGUUAACACCCUAUAACCACCCUGUAACCACUACACCAGUUAACACCCCCCUAGUAACCACCUGUAACCCACUCACCAGUUCAACACCCUGUAACCACUCCACCAGUUACACCCUGUUAAACCACCCGAACCACUACACCACGUUAACACCCUGUAACCACUACACCAGUUAACACCCUAUAACCACUACACCAGUUAACACCCUAUAACCACUACACCAGUUAACACCCUAUAACCACUACACCAGUUAACACCCUAUAACCACUACAUCAAGUCACCGUUAAGCUUCAUUUCUCCCGUCUGUGUUAUUCUAAGUGAGUUAUAGCUGCAGUCCAUGUGAGUUUGUGUGAUCAGAAUCUCAGACUGCCCCUGAACCUCAGCAGCAGCCUUCUCCCAGUACGCCAAACAUUCUCCCAGUAGG
rnacentral:lncRNA from 1 species